AACAGUUACUCAGAGAAGGGCAUUCUGGGAGCCUCCUAUAAAAAAAAAUGGGGCCACUCCUGUGUUCAGGGUAGGGUUGCCAAUGGGAGGAUGAGGGGAGGGCAUAAGAGUCUUGCUUUCUAGGCCGGCAAGGAGAUGGCCCAAGAAGCUCUGAGACAGGAAGGCAUCCAAGAACAGUGGCCCAGUGAGUGCAGCGAUGCUGAGGGGCUACUGCAGGAUCAGAGAACUGCACUCCUUAAAGAUGGAGGGGGCUGCUAAUUAUGAUUGUCCCUGUACAAAGGAGCCCCAACUGGGCCCAGGGUCAGGGGCUGGAGCUGGUUCCAGACUCACCAGCAAGGGAGGAAGCAAAAGCAAAGACAUACCCUACCCUUCUGGGAGAGCGAAUUUGAUCAUAUGUAUUUGAUUAGAGGCUCCAUGUGUUGGGGGAGAGUAGAUAGCCCUGAAGGGGCCAGAGGUCAAGGAGACACUGGAAUGCCGUGGGGAAUGAGAACAGGGGCCAGAGCGAUGGCAGAUAGGUGAGCUGGGUGUCAGGCACUCAUUUUUAUUGACCAUGGACUGAGUGAUUUAAAGACUAGGGGUGUAGCAGAUUCUGAGGAAGAGGUAUUAAGGGGACCUGCCUGGCUCUCGAGGGGGCUGGGAACAUGAACAGGUAGUAAGCGAAUGGGGCACAGGGAAUCAGUCUAGUUCCAGCUACCCCAAAACAACAGCCUGCCUGGGAGGCAGAACCAGAUGGCCACCUGCUUCAAGUCAGCAGCGUGAGUCAGGGGCUGUGGGACGAGGUCACCCUGGCUACAUUACUACGUAUCAAGUUCCGCAGAGAAGGAGCGCUGCUUUUCUUCUGCUCUGUGCUGCUUGAGUCAACCCAGAUCGGACAGUCGCCAACUCAGAGGGGGCCUCAUCCCGAGGAGGAAUGUCUCCACGAGGUGAGGGCCAGCAGUCACAUCUGAAGUGUGUGGUGGAGGCCCACAGUGGGAGGUGGAGCGGGGAAGGGGGCGCAGCAGCAUGCCGUGGACUGUGUUCUGCUGUCGCUUCUCCCACUUCUUCCCACCUGUGCAGAAAGUGCUGCUCUUUGCCCGCAGAUGGCACAACCUGUGGAGCAUGACUUCAACAAGUGUGCAAGUUGGAGUGUAGGUGUCACUGCUCUGGGAGGGACACUGUGCAAGAGCCUCGUUACUGUACGGGAGAGGGCGUCAACCAUCUGGCUCUAGAGAGUUGAGAGUGGAACUUCUGGCUUGGGUGGAUACAGUCUGGAGCAAAGAAGGAGGUAUCUGGACGCCCGUCCUAAAAGAGACAAAUAUCCUUCCUCAUCAUCCUACCAGGCUCACAGAAGCACUUGGCAUCUCUGCCUGCUCUGCCCUCCUGCUAACACCGGGUCAGGGUAGGGAGCGUACCUCCAGGAC